GAUAACAAGUAAGUAAGACAGUACAGAAAAACAAAUAGGACAUCAGGGCAAUUAUGAACUAACUGGUUCUGACUCCACUAGUGACCUGUAAUUAUUUUUAGAAUUUUUUAACUUUUCACAAAAAUACAAAAUUAUACAUCGUUAAGCCUUAAUUUACCGUAACAGGCAAUAUGGUCAAGGAUCCUUACCUGGAUCAAUUUUGAGACGUCACACUAUCUACUACGCCUCCUAACGAGUAUCGGGUUUCUUGAAUUUUUUCUGCAUAAU
rnacentral:lncRNA from 1 species